CGGCAAGGGCGGGGUGCUAAUACAUGCAAGUCGAACGAACUCUGGUAUUGAUUGGUGCUUGCAUCAUGAUUUACAUUUGAGUGAGUGGCGAACUGGUGAGUAACACGUGGGAAACCUGCCCAGAAGCGGGGGAUAACACCUGGAAACAGAUGCUAAUACCGCAUAACAACUUGGACCGCAUGGUCCGAGUUUGAAAGAUGGCUUCGGCUAUCACUUUUGGAUGGUCCCGCGGCGUAUUAGCUAGAUGGUGAGGUAACGGCUCACCAUGGCAAUGAUACGUAGCCGACCUGAGAGGGUAAUCGGCCACAUUGGGACUGAGACACGGCCCAAACUCCUACGGGAGGCAGCAGUAGGGAAUCUUCCACAAUGGACGAAAGUCUGAUGGAGCAACGCCGCGUGAGUGAAGAAGGGUUUCGGCUCGUAAAACUCUGUUGUUAAAGAAGAACAUAUCUGAGAGUAACUGUUCAGGUAUUGACGGUAUUUAACCAGAAAGCCACGGCUAACUACGUGCCAGCAGCCGCGGUAAUACGUAGGUGGCAAGCGUUGUCCGGAUUUAUUGGGCGUAAAGCGAGCGCAGGCGGUUUUUUAAGUCUGAUGUGAAAGCCUUCGGCUCAACCGAAGAAGUGCAUCGGAAACUGGGAAACUUGAGUGCAGAAGAGGACAGUGGAACUCCAUGUGUAGCGGUGAAAUGCGUAGAUAUAUGGAAGAACACCAGUGGCGAAGGCGGCUGUCUGGUCUGUAACUGACGCUGAGGCUCGAAAGUAUGGGUAGCAAACAGGAUUAGAUACCCUGGUAGUCCAUACCGUAAACGAUGAAUGCUAAGUGUUGGAGGGUUUCCGCCCUUCAGUGCUGCAGCUAACGCAUUAAGCAUUCCGCCUGGGGAGUACGGCCGCAAGGCUGAAACUCAAAGGAAUUGACGGGGGCCCGCACAAGCGGUGGAGCAUGUGGUUUAAUUCGAAGCUACGCGAAGAACCUUACCAGGUCUUGACAUACUAUGCAAAUCUAAGAGAUUAGACGUUCCCUUCGGGGACAUGGAUACAGGUGGUGCAUGGUUGUCGUCAGCUCGUGUCGUGAGAUGUUGGGUUAAGUCCCGCAACGAGCGCAACCCUUAUUAUCAGUUGCCAGCAUUAAGUUGGGCACUCUGGUGAGACUGCCGGUGACAAACCGGAGGAAGGUGGGGAUGACGUCAAAUCAUCAUGCCCCUUAUGACCUGGGCUACACACGUGCUACAAUGGAUGGUACAACGAGUUGCGAACUCGCGAGAGUAAGCUAAUCUCUUAAAGCCAUUCUCAGUUCGGAUUGUAGGCUGCAACUCGCCUACAUGAAGUCGGAAUCGCUAGUAAUCGCGGAUCAGCAUGCCGCGGUGAAUACGUUCCCGGGCCUUGUACACACCGCCCGUCACACCAUGAGAGUUUGUAACACCCAAAGUCGGUGGGGUAACCUUUUAGGAACCAGCCGCCUAAGGUGAACAGGAAUUGG
rnacentral:rRNA from 1 species